rnacentral:rRNA from 1 species
UACGAAGGGGGCGAGCGUUGUUCGGAUUUACUGGGCGUAAAGGGCGCGCAGGCGGCUCAUUUUGUCAGGCGUGAAAGCCCCGGGCUUAACCUGGGAACUGCGUUUGAUACGGAUGGGCUAGAGUUCGGGAGAGGAGAGUGGAAUUCCCAGUGUAGAGGUGAAAUUCGUAGAUAUUAGGAAGAACACCAGUGGCGAAGGCGGCCUUCUGGACGAUGACUGACGCUGAGACGCGAAAGCGUGGGGAGCAAACAGG